UAUCCUGUCUGAAUAUGGGGGGACCAUCCUCCAAGGCUAAAUACUCCUGACUGACCGAUAGUGAACCAGUACCGUGAGGGAAAGGCGAAAAGAACCCCGGCGAGGGGAGUGAAAAAGAACCUGAAACCGUGUACGUACAAGCAGUGGGAGCCCCACCACCAAAGCAUUUGCUGUACCGCGUUGACGGAGCGAAGCGACGUCAAACCGAUAAAACAGCAGUGUAAAGUGAGCCGCAGGGCGCUUUGCGCGACAGCGCAAAGGCAGGCGGUUUCGCGUAGCGAAAGCGAAUGCUUUGGGGUGGGGUGACUGCGUACCUUUUGUAUAAUGGGUCAGCGACUUAUAUUCUGUAGCAAGGUUAACCGAAUAGGGGAGCCGGAGGGAAACCGAGUCUUAAUUGGGCGUUAAGUUGCAGGGUAUAGACCCGAAACCCGGUGAUCUAGCCAUGGGCAGGUUGAAGGUUGGGUAACACUAACUGGAGGACCGAACCGACUAAUGUUGAAAAAUUAGCGGAUGACCUGUGGCUGGGGGUGAAAGGCCAAUCAAACCGGGAGAUAGCUGGUUCUCCCCGAAAGCUAUUUAGGUAGCGCCUCGUGAAUUCAUCUCCGGGGGUAGAGCACUGUUUCGGCUAGGGGGCCAUCCCGGCUUACCAACCCGAUGCAAACUGCGAAUACCGGAGAAUGUUAUCACGGGAGACACACGGCGGGUGCUAACGUCCGUCGUGAAGAGGGAAACAACCCAGACCGCCAGCUAAGGUCCCAAAGUCAUGGUUAAGUGGGAAACGAUGUGGGAAGGCCCAGACAGCCAGGAUGUUGGCUUAGAAGCAGCCAUCAUUUAAAGAAAGCGUAAUAGCUCACUGGUCGAGUCGGCCUGCGCGGAAGAUGUAACGGGGCUAAACCAUGCACCGAAGCUGCGGCAGCGACACUGUGUGUUGUUGGGUAGGGGAGCGUUCUGUAAGCCUGUGAAGG
rnacentral:rRNA from 1 species